rnacentral:lncRNA from 1 species
ACUCUUAAUUAAACACUUUGGUGACAUCCGUUGCUCUUCCUCAUGUUUUGUCAUGGUAACAUGAUAUGUUUGUACACAUGUAGGUCAUCUCUCGUUUCUUGUAGUUUUUUUCAUGUUUUUUGCAUAGUUGACAAAUUACACUUUUUAUAGUUCUUAUUUUGAUGAAAUUGCAGUAAAAUUCGGCCGAGUUAGUAUACACAUGUACACAUGAAUAACAACAAGCGUUGUACUGAUGUUUCUUCUGAAACCGUGGGGCAUUCGACGUAUAUGGUUACUUCCAGGAAGACAUAUACGUAUAUAUAUUGACGUUUUUUUUACAUGGGAAACGAACAAUAAAAAAACCUUCAAAACAUAUUUUUUACACAUAUUUAACAGUUAAACAUGUGUUUAACAUACGUUCAAGUGGGUGUUUUUCGAACAUGAAGUUAAACGACGAUAAACAUAUACAUUUUGUUCAGUAGAGAAUAUCAUUGAUGUAAAAUGGACGUCCAAUGAAAUUCCUGUUCAGUGGAACCACGAUAUCCUUAUGAAAACGACUUGUGUAAUACGUACGUUU